AUGGAGAGAGAGGCAGAGGCGCGCCACCAGCUGCUGCUCCACGGCGUGAGCCUGGACCUGCGUCUCAACACGGUCACCCACCAGCGCGGCGGCCCGCGCCCGGCGUCCCCCGCUGCUCCCGCGGCGCUCGACAACGUCGGCAGGGAGGCCCUCGCCUGCAACUACUGCCACCGCAAGUUCUUAAGCUCGCAGGCGCUCGGCGGCCACCAGAACGCGCACAAGCUGGAGCGCACCCCGCCAAGCGCAGCCGGGACGUCCCCUCCUCAGCCGUCGCCAUGGCGACUGCUUCCUCUUCCACGGCCGCCCACAGCUGGCUCCACGCCGGCGGCGGGGAGCUCUGGGGGUACUCUGGUUCGGCCGCUGCUCCGGACUCCGCGACGAUGGCGCCACUGA
rnacentral:rRNA from 1 species